CCUACGGGGUGCAGCAGUAGGGAAUCUUCCACAAUGGACGAAAGUCUGAUGGAGCAACGCCGCGUGAGUGAAGAAGGGUUUCGGCUCGUAAAGCUCUUUUAGGAGUGAAGAGAGAAAGAGGUUGUCACUUGCCUUUAUUUGACGGUAAUUAGUGCGAACGUCACGGCUAACUACGUGCCAACAGCCGCGGUAAUACGUAGGUGGCAAGCGUUGUCCGGAUUUAUUGGGCGUAAAUCGAGUGCAGCCGGGUCAAUAAGUCUGAUGUGAAAGCCUGCGGCUCAACCGGGGAACUGCAUCCGAAACUGUUGUACUUGAGUGCAGAAGAGGAGAGCGGAACUCCAUGUGUAGCGGUGGAAUGCGUAGAUAUAAGGAAGAACACCAGUGGCGAAGGCGGCUCUCUGGUCUGCAACUGACGCUGAGGCUCGAAAGCAUGGGUAGCGAACAGGAUUAGAUACCCUUGUAGUC
rnacentral:rRNA from 1 species